GGUUAUCACUUUCAACCUCCCAGAAAUUGGAUGAACGAUCCUAAUGGACCAAUGAUAUACAAAGGAAUAUAUCAUCUGUUUUACCAAUAUAACCCAUACGGCGCCGUUUGGGAUGUAAGAAUCGUAUGGGGACA